AACUUUUGACAACGGAUCACUUGGCUCUCGCAUCGAUGAAGAACGCAGCGAAAUGGGAUACGUAAUGUGAAUUGCAGAAUUCAGUGAAUCAUCGAAUCUUUGAACGCACCUUGCGCCCUUUGGCAUUCCGAGGGGCACACCCGUUUGAGUGUCGUGACAUCCUCAAAACCUUCUUGGUUUCUUGACCGGGAAGGCUUUGGACUUUGGUGGUUUUUGCUGGCCUUCCUUUGUUGGAGCCAGCUCCUCUGAAAUGAAUCAGUGGGGUGCGCAUUGCCGAUCCUUGACGUCAUAAGAUGUUUUCUACGUCUUGGGUUUCGCACUGUUCGCUCUGGAUCCUGCUUCUAACUGUCUCAUAGAAGACAAUGGUCAAGUGAUUGCCACGUUACCCACACACCUUGACCGCAAAUCGGGUGAGACUACCCGCUGAACUUAAGCAUAUCAAUAAGCGGAGGCU
rnacentral:misc_RNA from 1 species